rnacentral:rRNA from 1 species
UACGAAGGGGGCUAGCGUUGUUCGGAAUUACUGGGCGUAAAGGGCGCGCAGGCGGCCCUCCAAGUCAGGCGUGAAAGCCCCGGGCUCAACCCGGGAAUAGCGCUUGAGACUGGGGGGCUUGAGUUCGGGGAGAGGAGAGUGGAAUUCCCAGUGUAGAGGUGAAAUUCGUAGAUAUUGGGAAGAACACCGGUGGGCGAAGGCGGCUCUCUGGACCGACACUGACGCUGAGG